AAAAAUGAAGCAAAAUUGCGGUUAGUUUCGACCUAACAGACUGGGACACCCAUUUUUA
rnacentral:tRNA from 1 species